ACCUUUGGAAAGCAAUCAGAGACAGACAAUUUGUCAAUAUUUUAUCUUCCAUUGUGGUUUUUGAUCUCUGUUUGUUGUUGUAGACAAGGGAAUCACCACUAACUCAAGGAUCGAUAACACAUCUAUAUGAUCUUUUGGUGAAUGGUAGCUCGGAAUCUUGGAAAAAGUCUGCGUACAUUUCAUCCAACGAUUAGAGAGCAGACUUUUGUUUUUUUUUUAUCUCAAGACUUUAAGAAAAAAAUGAGGUUAGUUUGUAUAUUGGCCAACUAUUUUUGAUUGUUUGGAAAAACUUUGCGUACAUAUCAGCUAACGAUUAGAGAGCACAGGUUUGUUUUUUUU